CGCUGCGACAUUCUCAGCAAACCCAAUACCUGCCUCCUGCUCGGUGGAUUUGAGUCACGAUGUUUUUCGUUAAGGAUUCAGCAGCUGCUCCUUCGAGAUCUUUGUUUCAUCCUCCCCCCUCCGUGCCCAGGCGUUGGCUACGGCCCUCAAACACGGAGUGGGCCACCAGAGUGCUGCUUUCCAACCCUCCAAGACUCGCGUUUGAAACUUUGCUUUAAGAAAGAAGAAAGAAAAAUGCUUGUCGUGGGGCUUCAGGCCUCUAGUGUCUUGUCCAUUUUGUCCACGUGGGAUCCCGGAGGAAGAGCAGGAGAGUGCGGGAUGGUGUUUGGGGACACUGCAGAAAGAGCCGUGGGAAACGAAGAGCCAGGGGACACCGCCUUUGGCUUAGGGCUGCGUGGCCUGCAGCUGGAGUCCAGAAAGUAAGAUAGAAGGUGACCCGAGGGGAAGAGGAGAGGAAUAGAGAGACGGAGAGAGAAAGAGGAGAGAGAGGGUGAGAAAGAGCAAGUCCAGGCUUGGCCGGGGUGGAGGGGCUCCUGCUGAUGCCUCCACGUGCAGGUGACCGUGUCCACCAGACCCUGAGGAGAGGACCUUCGAACCCGCAGCGGCGAGUCCACCCCCUCGCGAUCCUGGAGAUGGAAACCCCGACGUCUGCUCACCACCGCACAUAAAGGGGACUGCUGUGGCCCCAGGAUGGGACUUUUUAGAGCAGUCAGCGUGUGGAAGGGGGUUUGUGCACCUAGAGCUUCAACUCAAAUGGGGACCCAGGUCAGAGCACUCGGCCCCAAACACGCCGAUGUGCAGACGCGGCUUCCCUGGGGUCCGGGUAGGGGUCCAUCCCUGUGCUGGCUCGGAGCAUUCAUCCUUCCAUUUCAGCAUAUGUGACCCCCAAAUGGAAGCUCCCCUCUGCUGAGAGGAUGGUCACUAAUUUGAGAGACAACCCACGGGUAGGCGUUCAUGGUCACUAACUAAAAUACUCAGCGGAAAAUGAUGGGCAGUGACUGACACAAUAUUCACAGACGGCUUCUGCUGUCCUCUGCCGAUAAGGACCAGGGACCCUGAGAGGGACCUAUGAUUGACUGGUCUCAACAUGAAGGAAAACUUCUACUAAGGAGAGAGAGGAGGGGGGCCAGUUCUCGGGAGGAUGUACAAACAGCGAGUCUCCUGGUGGCACGUGUGGGCCUGUGGAUCCCUCCGGGGGACUCUUGUUGCCUAUCUUGGUGAAGCUGUUUUUGUCCUGGUUGCAGUGUGGCAUCCCUGGACAUUUCUGUCCUGGGGCUUGACGUGGAGACAGCCCCUCUCAGAAGUGGGAUCAUGCAGUGUUUGUUCUGUGCUCGGGUGAACCUUGGUGGCUGGCAUUGGGGCCACAUGUUAUUGGCAACAUGUCUCUAAUAAGGCUGAGCUCUGGAUUUCACAUCAGUGAGUCUAGGGCACCCCAGAGCACUGCUGUCCUUUGCAACAUGUGACCCGAAUGUAAGGCAAAGAAACUACCCUGUUUUGGGGGUGUCGAAUGCUCCGAGUCAAGUAAGUCCCACCAGCAGGUCUCUUAAUAUGGUUGGAGACCACUUUUUAAUUCUGUCUCUCUUUCUUAGGAAAAUCAAUGGGAGACUAGUUCCUCUUCGCCUACCCGUGGGUUGUCUCUCAAAUUCCACAAUCACUUUCUAAGAUUGCUUAAGACAACAUUGAUUUGGGUUGUUCAAUCGGCAACAGGGAGUUCUACGACUGGGAAGCGUCGAAUAUUUUCAACCUCAUAGUUCAUGUUAUAUUAGUCGAAAACAUAUUUUUUAAGAUGUGUAUUAUUAAUGACACAAUAAAAUCUCAU